rnacentral:rRNA from 1 species
UACGGAGGAUGCGAGCGUUAUCCGGAUUUAUUGGGUUUAAAGGGUACGUAGGCGGGAUGCCAAGUCAGCGGUAAACAUGCGGUGCUCAACGCCGUCGAGCCGUUGAAACUGGCGUUCUUGAGUGGGCGAGAAGUAUGCGGAAUGCGUGGUGUAGCGGUGAAAUGCAUAGAUAUCACGCAGAACUCCGAUUGCGAAGGCAGCAUACCGGCGCCCUACUGACGCUGAGGCACGAAAGCGUGGGUAUCGAACAGG